rnacentral:lncRNA from 1 species
AUAGAUAGAUGGGGUUGGUGAGGAUAGAUAGAUAGAUGGAUGGAGUGGGUGGGGAUAGAUAGAUAGAUGGAGGGAUGGGGAUAGAUAGAUGGGGAUGGUGGGGAUAGAUAGAUAGAUAGAGGNGGAUAGAUAGAUAGAUAGAUGGGUUGGGUAGGGAUAGAUAGAUAGAUAGAGGGGGUGGAUGGGGAUAGAUAGAUAGAUAGAUAGAGGAGGUGGAUGGCGAUAGAUAGAUAGAGGGGGUUGGUGGGGAUAGAUAGAUAGAUAGAUAGAAGGAGUGGAUGGGAAUAGAUGGAUGGGAUGGGUGGAGAUAGANGGGGGGGGGGGGGUAGAAAUGAUUGUCACCGGUGAUCAGGAUCUGCUGCAGUGUUGACUCCCCCACGGGCAGCGGAGUGGGCUCUGUCUGUGCACCCCUGGAACGGACCCAGGGAGCAGCCUCUGGGGCCGUGGGGGAGGAUGAACCAGGGCUGGAAUCCUUUGCCCUCCGUCAGUACCCUGAGUACCUCCUGGGCAGAGCGGGGACAGGAGGGGAGCCUGGCCUGGGGUGCGCAGGGCUGCAGGGCCGGGAUGGAUUUUCCUGCCGCCCUGGUGAGGACUCAGCCUGGGCCCAGCAGAGAAGCAGCACGAGUGGCUUGCAGGCACCUGGUGCUGCGAAGAGUGCGCCAGUUCCCUGGCUCCCUUGUGCCCAGAUGGCCCAUUUGCAGCCUUCCUCUCCAGUCAUCGCUCCUCUGCCAUCCUCUUCCUCUUUUCCUGCUGGUUCUCUCCUUAAGGAGUGUGCACGGCCCUUGGGCUGGGAAUGCGCGGCCCCACAGCGCCCCUUCUCCUCUCGCUGGGCACAGCAGAGCCUGGAGCUGGGGAGCAGGGCAGGGGCCAGCCAGCGGGAAGGAGCAGGGGGAGCAAAGGGCCGGUCUUGCUGUGCCCAUGGGGAGAAGGGGCUGUCGUCUGGGGCCAGCUCUAGACGGGGUCCCGUGCUGGUGGAGGUGGCUGUGAGGGGGGACGGGCUGACUCCCUGAUGUUCAGGCAUAGGGGCACUGACGGUCACUGGGAGUUGGGCACCUAACUCUCCUUUGGGGCUCUUCCCCCGUUUGUUGAUGCCCUGUGGGAGGGCACCGCCAGACGCUGGGCUAUGCCAACAGGUGCUGGCAGUUGGGUGGCACUGCCUCUGCCUGGAUUCCUGAUGUUUUGCUCCAUGGCCUUGGGGCUCCCUCCCCUCCCCCCGAGACACCUGCCCUGCCGCUAGCUCUCCUCCGCCCCAGGUGUAUCUAUGGGCAGGAAGCAGGGGACGGCCCCUCGUUUUUCCACUUGCCUGUGUGAAGCGGAGGAGACAGCAGCAGGGACGCCAAGGGGCCCAGCUGCGCUGGAGGCGGGAGGGAGUAGUGUGGUCCCGCCGCUGAUCUAAGGCACUAACCGGCAGUGCUGCCUGCAGGGGGACAAGGCUGGGACUCCUCUCUCCGGGCCCCACUGCAUCUCCAUCCCACCUGCUCUGCUCCAAGCUCGGACAGCGUCUGGGUCAGCAAUCGCCUCCCCUCGGAGCCCGGCCUGCCCCGGAGAUGGCCAGGGCUGGCUGCUGGAGAGCGAUGCUGGAUUUGUACCCAUGAGUGGAUGCCUGGGGUCUUCUCUAGGCGAGCCCAGCAGCUUCCUAGCCACAUGCCGUGCCCUUGCAGCGCCAAUGAGCCUGGCCAGAGCAGGGCAAGGGAAAGCUCUCCUCAUUCCCAGCGUCUCAUGGAGGGACAGACAGGAACUGGUGAGAAGCAGCUGUUGGACCUUUCGAGUGCUCUCCUAGGAGCCCAGGCACAGCACGACAUGGGCCAGGGAGAGAGGAGGGUGCUGGCUUGGUGAAUUCGCAUGGCUGUCUGCCGUGACCGAACAGAGGAUCCGAGAAUGUGUGGGUGCCUUUGUCCCGUACCAGCAGUGCCCGCCCCCCCCAGGCAGGGCUCUUCCAGGGAGCCGAGUUCCCCGUCUCCCUGCUCACACUUUCGACUGCCAAAGG